AAAACAAAAACAAACACAGAACGAAAAGCCCAUUGAUUACUCUGUUUUAAUCCUGAUGACCAGCUAUGUCAGAACAUUUGCCAGGAGCCACUGCAGCCUCAUCCUCAAGUAAAGGAAGCACAGCCUGGUGGAAUCUCACGUUUGGUGAGUGGGCAGGAGGCAUCAGAAACCUCCACGGAUGAGGACAGAGCAGGACGCUGCUGCCGUCUCCCUGCCUGUGGCACUGGUGGUCAGGCUUGAGGCCCUUUGUCUCGUCCCCUUCUCCUGACAUCAGCUGGAAGAGACGGAGAUUAAAACAAGGGAGACGUGUUACAAAGAAGAAUGCACAUCUCUGGAACGUGCCACUGCAUAUUCCCUGUACAAAAGUCCAAAAGAAGUGAGGACACGACCUGUUGUGUGGCAGAAGCACUGCGAGAUCAUAAUACGUAGCUGCUGGUGGACAGAAAGAAGGAUGAGUCAGGUGUGCAUUAUUUCCACUCGGAGAGGGCUGUCAUACGGGUGUGCCACUGCCUGCUGCUGAAGGAAAGUGUCCCAGUUUUCAAUAUGAGCACUUGGUCUGAAUAAUCGCACGUGGCUUUUAUUGAGGAGAAGUAACACUGAUCCCCGUAGGAAAGGCAGAAGUGACUAACACUGAAACAGAAGAGGGGAAAAAAGGAUACAAAUAACAGACCUUUACAGUUCCACUCCGGGGAAGGCUCUAGUUAUGAUACGAAUGAUACAUUUGUGUGUCUGUGACAGUGAAUUAAAAAUGUGAGGGAUAAGCUUGCUGUUGAAAUGAGACUGCACUGCAGUGCUGCUCAUUAGCUCCCACAUGAAGCUGGCAGUCCUCCGAACAACCUUGCUUA
rnacentral:lncRNA from 1 species